CCUACGUGAGGCAGCAGUGAGGAAUAUUGGUCAAUGGGCGCGAGCCUGAACCAGCCAAGUAGCGUGAAGGAUGACUGCCCUACGGGUUGUAAACUUCUUUUAUAAAGGAAUAAAGUGAGGCACGUGUGCCUUUUUGUAUGUACGGUAUGAAUAAGGAUCGGCUAACUCCGUGCCAGCAGCCGCGGUAAUACGGAGGAUCCGAGCGUUAUCCGGAUUUAGUGGGGUUAAAGGGAGCGUAGUUGGGUUGUUCAGUCAGUGGUGAAAGUUUGCGGCUCCACCGGAAAAUUGCAAUUUAUACUGGCAGUCUUGUGUACAGUUGAGGUCGGCGGAAUUCGUGUUGUAGCGG
rnacentral:rRNA from 1 species